GCCCCGGUGGCUCAGCCUGGUAGAUGCCAAACCCCAGCCAAAAGCGUUGCCUUGGUAAGGCAAAGGCCACGGGUUCAAAUCCCGUCCGGGGCUCCA
rnacentral:tRNA from 1 species